GAUGAAACUUUACUGACUUCUUCGGAAUGAUUUAAAGCGGAUUAGUGGCGAACGGGUGAGUAACGCGUGAGUAACCUGCCUUACACAAGGGGAUAGCCUCUGGAAACGGAGAAUAAUACCCUAUGAAACCAGACAAUCGCAUGAUAAUCUGGUCAAAAUGUUUAGUGGUGUAAGAUGGGACUUGCGUCUGAUUAGCUAGUUGGUGAGAUAACAGCUCACCAAGGCAACGAUCAGUAGCCGGCUUGAGAGAGUGUACGGCCACAUUGGGACUGAGACACGGCCCAGACUCCUACGGGAGGCAGCAGUGGGGAAUUUUGCACAAUGGGGGAAACCCUGAUGCAGCGACGCCGCGUGAUUUAGAAGGCCUUCGGGUUGUAAAAAUCUUUUGUAUAGGAAGAAAACGACAGUACUAUACGAAUAAGGUCCGGCUAAUUACGUGCCAGCAGCCGCGGUAAUACGUAAGGACCGAGCGUUGUCCGGAAUCAUUGGGCGUAAAGGGUACGUAGGCGGGUUUUUAAGUUAGAAGUCAAAGGCUAUAGCUCAACUAUAGUAAGCUUCUAAAACUGGGAACCUUGAGUAAUGGAAGGGAAAGUGGAAUUCCUAGUGUAGCGGUGGAAUGCGCAGAUAUUAGGAGGAAUACCGGUGGCGAAGGCGACUUUCUGGCCAUUAACUGACGCUGAGGUACGAAAGCGUGGGUAGCAAACAGGAUUA
rnacentral:rRNA from 2 species